CACAAAUAUAUUGAAGGUGCUGCUGGUUACUUAACUCCAAUAUAGGAACUUAGCUCAUUAUAACAAAUGCAACGGUUUUAGGCCCAUAUAUUUUAUCAUUAAUAUCCGAGGCCCCAUUAUAUAAAAUAAGUUGGUUCAUUAGAAGUCGAUGUGCAUCUUAUAUUUAUGUGAAAGAAAGAAGACUCACAUUUGAGAAGGGAUCCACAUUUUUUUUCAAAGAACUUAGACCACCUCCAUCGAUGAGGUCUUAAGUAGAGUUUCAAGCAAAAAUGAAAAAAAAUAAAUGAAAAAUGGGGAAAAAAGAAAGAACCGGGUCUUUAAUUGGGUUAUUUGGAACUGAUAAGACACCCUAACAUGACAUUAUCCCAUUCGAUCACUUCUUUAAUGUCUCUCUCUCCUUCGUCUCGCGAAAUCAAUUUGGCUUCCUCCUCCAUUCUCGAUCAAUCUGUCGCUGCUCUCGAAUUUCAUCAUCUCAUCUCAUCGUUCUAUUCUGAGAUCUCAUCUCAUCUCAUCUCAUCGUCCUCGGUUAGGCAAGGCUUCCUCCUUCAUUCUCUUUGCUCUCGAAUCUCAUCUCAUCUCAUCGUUCUCUUCUGAGAUCUCAUCUCAUCGUUCUCGGUUAGUCAAGGAUCUCAUCUCAUCUCAGAAGAGAAGAAGGCUUGAAGAGAAAGCAAGGAUCGACGGAAGGAUGAAACUCAGACAACAUGCAAGGCUUGCGGUAAUGAAGGGGGAAGAAGAUGAAGAAGAAGAAGAAGAAGCAAGAUCAGACUGUUCGUGUGAGUUUGCUUUUGAUUCAUUACGGAAUCAACACAAACGUCAGAAAUAGAUUCACCAUCAUCAAAGCAUCUGUAUUUUAUUUCAGAAAGCAACAGGUAUAUCACAUGGUACUUGCAGACAAAGACAGUUACCAUGUGACAGAACAAGACAAUAUGUUUGAUGUAAUAAAGUUGUUGAGUUUUGUAUCUCGUGAAGUCCUAAUUUGUGUGAAAUGUUUCACGUUGUUUUUUAGUUGUACCAAACGAUAUACAACCUGUCUAAACUUGUCUAUAUAAACUUGUGAGAAAGAAAUCAAAUGCAAAACAAAACAACAACUUUGAGCAUCUUCACAUCUUUUUCAAAAGCAAUUGUUUUUUCUCCUUAACCGAGCAAAACAAAUCAUCUCUAAGCAAUUGUUUCUUCUCCUUCACGUUUCUUAUCCUUCUCAUUUCUUCUUCUUCACAUUUCUUCUUCUUCUCAUUUCUUCUCCUUCUCAUUUCAAAUGGCAUCUUCUUCUUCUAAUAAUUUCGAAGACUUGGAUGAAAGAUUUGAUCAAAUUUUCGAUCAACAAUUCGAAAAUCUUCUAAUUCGUCAUAUUGAGCAUCAAGAAGCAUCAAGGUCAAAAAAGAAACGAGCCUACAUUGAAAGACAACGAGAAGAAUGACACAUGCAGUUAUGGAACGAUUAUUUUGGUGAAGAUGCAACAUAUCCUUCUCACAUGUUUCGACGACAUUUUCGAAUGAACAAGCCCUUGUUCAUGCGUAUUGUUGAUCGACUAUCCGCUGAAAUCCCAUACUUUCAACAAAGAAGAGAUGCUACUGGAAGGUUCAGCCACUCCCCGUUACAAAAGGCAACGGCAGCAAUUCGUAUGAUGGCAUAUGGUUGCCCAGCUGAUGCGGUCGACGAAUACCUCCGACUUGGCGAGACCACCGCGCUUUUAUGCUUGGAACAUUUUUUCAAGGAAUCAUAAAUUUAUUUGGAGAUGAGUAUCUAAGAAGACCCACGCUAGAAGAUCUUCAACGUCUACUCGAUAUUGGAGAGAUAUGCGGGUUUUCCGGGAUGAUAGGAAUCAUUGAUUGUAUGCAUUGGGAGUGGAAGAAUUGUCCGACCGCAUGGAAAUGUCAAUACACACGUGGAUCAGGAAAGCCAACAAUUGUUUUAGAAGCUGUAGCUUCACAAGAUCUCUAGAUAUGGCACACGUUUUUUGGACCUCCAGGUACAUUAAACGAUAUCAAUGUUCUUGAUCGAUCACCGGUUUUUUAUGAUAUAUUACAAGGUCAAUCUCCAAAAGUUAAUUACAUUGUCAACGGACACGAGUACAAUUUGGCUUACUAUCUCACAGAUGAUAUUUAUCCAAAAUGAGCUACUUUUGUCCAAUCUAUUUCCCUUCCGCAAGGUCCGAAAGCAUCUUUAUUCGCUACACAACAAGAAGUUGUACGUAAAGAUGUCGAGCGUGUUUUUGGGGUCUUGCAAGCUCGAUUUGCCAUAGUAAAAAAUCCAGCUCUUUUGUGGGAUAAAACAAUAAUUGGAAAGAUAAUGAUAGCAUGUAUCAUUCUACAUAAUAUGAUUGUAGAAGACGAACGAGAUGGGUACACUCAGUAUGAUUUAUCUGUUUUCUCGCAACCGGAAUCAAACCGAAGUUCACAAGUGGAUAGCACGUUUUUUACAGAUAUGCCUUCAAAUAUCGGCAAUAUGAUGAGCAUUCGGAAUCGAGUUCGUGAUAGAAGAAUACAUCAACAAUUGAUAGAUGAUUUGGUUGAGAAUAUAUGGCAAAAAUUUGGAACAAAUCAAGAUUUCACUAAUCGUUUUUUUCUCGUUUACUAUUUGUAUUUGUAUUUGUAAUAUGUUUUAAUGCCAUUUUUAUUAAAAAAAUU